CCUACGGGAGGCAGCAGUGGGGAAUUUUGGACAAUGGGCGCAAGCCUGAUCCAGCCAUGCCGCGUGAGUGAAGAAGGCCUUCGGGUUGUAAAGCUCUUUCGGCCGGGAAGAAAUCGCAUGGGUUAAUACCCUGUGUGGAUGACGGUACCGGAAUAAGAAGCACCGGCUAACUACGUGCCAGCAGCCGCGGUAAUACGUAGGGUGCGAGCGUUAAUCGGAAUUACUGGGCGUAAAGCGUGCGCAGGCGGUUUUGUAAGACAGGCGUGAAAUCCCCGGGCUUAACCUGGGAACUGCGCUUGUGACUGCAAGGCUAGAGUACGGCAGAGGGGGGUGGAAUUCCACGUGUAGCAGUGAAAUGCGUAGAGAUGUGGAGGAACACCAAUGGCGAAGGCAGCCCCCUGGGUCGAUACUGACGCUCAUGCACGAAAGCGUGGGUAGCAAACAGGAUUAGAUACCCUGGUAGUCCACGCCCUAAACUAUGUCAACUAGGUGUUGGGUGGGUAAAACCAUUUAGUACCGUAGCUAACGCGUGAAGUUGACCGCCUGGGGAGUACGGCCGCAAGGUUAAAACUCAAAUGAAUUGACGG
rnacentral:rRNA from 1 species